CCUACGGGAGGCAGCAGUGAGGAAUAUUGGUCAAUGGACGAGAGUCUGAACCAGCCAAGUAGCGUGAAGGAUGACUGCCCUAUGGGUUGUAAACUUCUUUUAUAAAGGAAUAAAACGAGGCACGUGUGCCUUUUUGCAUGUACUUUAUGAAUAAGGAUCGGCUAACUCCGUGCCAGCAGCCGCGGUAAUACGGAGGAUCCGAGCGUUAUCCGGAUUUAUUGGGUUUAAAGGGAGCGUAGAUGGGUUGUUAAGUCAGUUGUGAAAGUUUGCGGCUCAACCGUAAAAUUGCAAUUGAUACUGGCAGUCUAGAGUACAGUUGAGGUAGGCGGAAUUCGUGGUGGAGCGGUGAAAUGCUUAGAUAUCACGAAGAACCCCGAUUGCGAAGGCAGCUUACUAAACUGUGACUGACAUUGAUGCUCGAAAGUGUGGGUAUCAAACAGGAUUAGAUACCCGGGUAGUC
rnacentral:rRNA from 1 species